UUUUAUUUCGAACUAAGACUCUGUAAAAACCUUAGAAAGCUAUGGUCUGAAUCUUGCCAGACGUGUCAAUCUGUUACAUACGUAUGCUGUUAGACAGAUUUUGCGCGUUGAGGACGGUAAUACGAAUACUGUGGGUUUUAUCCAGGGCCGUACGCAGAAUUUUUUACUGAGGGAAGGGGGAACCGCUGAGGAUUACACAGUCACUAAUGAACUAUAAGUGAAGACCUGUAUGAGUAUCAUAUGAUUCUGAAGGAACUGAUGGCAGUUAUAGAGGUACAGACACUUGCAAGCAAGGGGAAAGCAAGGAUUACUUGAGAAAAUCGUUUUAUUAAUAGUUUAACAAUUUGUACAAGUGCUAUGUUUUAAAAGCAAUACAAUUUAUGUAAUAUAUAUUUUUGGAAGGUAUAAUUAUUUUAUAUUCUUUAAAAGAUAUAAGAUUAUUAAUUUAAUUAAAUGAGCAAAUAAGAUAUUGAUUUGAUCAUAACAUUCACACAUAAAUAUGGCAUAUUUAAGAUGAAAGGAAAUUUUUUAACGCAUUGACUUGUUUGUGUUUGACAUGAAACAAUAACUUGUUUGUAUAUAAAAUAAAAUAUCAUACACAUUUUCAUACUGUUUAAAGUAACUAUAUACAAUGUACAACUAAUAACUAUAAAUAAAUACAUGUGUUUUAAUACAUUUAUUACAAUGUUAUAAUACUUUUUUUAAAAUAAAGAUUUCAGAUUCAGACGAAACUUUGCCGCCAUCUGACAAAGAAACACAGCCACCUCUGGAGGAAUGUGGUCAGGAAGUUGAAUGGUCCCAGUCGCCAUUAGGAUAUUUUGGCCACGUUUUUCGGAGAAAAAGUGGGAAUAUUGUGGUGAUGUGCGUCUGUCCGUCCGUCCUGGCCACCUGCUCCUCCUACACUAUUAGCACUAGAACCUUGAAACGUACAUAAGUGGUAGCUAUGAGCAUAUGUGCGACAGUGAU